rnacentral:lncRNA from 1 species
AGCUGUAGGAAAUUUUAAUUUACUAAUAAAAUGUCAAUUAAGGGUGUCCAAUGGGUAGUAUGAGCUUGUUUGGUUCGAGCCUCAGACGAGGCCUCAUUUAGUUCUCUGGUGAAAAGGUUUUGGAUUUCGAGUGUAACCAAGGCUGGUUAGUGUUGCAUUAUUUAUACGUGCGCGUCGCCCAGGCAAUGAAAAUCAACGCCCCGCUUGAGCUGUGUGGCCUGGCAUAUAUUUUGAUUAGUUUAUUCAUUCACCGGCGGAAAAGAGCCAUUCCUUUUUUGAAGUCUGUCUAUUUUUUAAUUAGUCUAACAUAAAAAAUUCACACAAUUAAACCAUAUGAACUGUAGCUAUGAAAUAUUCUAAUUAAUUAUAGAAAAACACAGAUCUAAAGCUACAAUAAAAACCUUGUACUAAAGCAUACCAUAUUAUAUGUUUCGUGUGU